rnacentral:rRNA from 1 species
GAUGAACGCUGGCGGCGUGCUUAACACAUGCAAGUCGAACGGAAAGGCCCAAGCUUGCUUGGGUACUCGAGUGGCGAACGGGUGAGUAACACGUGGGUGAUCUGCCCUGCACUUCGGGAUAAGCCUGGGAAACUGGGUCUAAUACCGGAUAGGACCACAUUUUGGAUGGUGUGGUGGAAAGUUUUUCGGUGUGGGAUGAGCUCGCGGCCUAUCAGCUUGUUGGUGGGGUAAUGGCCUACCAAGGCGUCGACGGGUAGCCGGCCUGAGAGGGUGUACGGCCACAUUGGGACUGAGAUGCGGCCCAGACUCCGACGGGAGGCAGCAGUGGGGAAUAUUGCACAAUGGGCGCAAGCCUGAUGCAGCGACGCCGCGUGGGGGAUGACGGCCUUCGGGUUGUAAACUCCUUUCGCUAGGGACGAAGCGUUUUUGUGACGGUACCUGGAGAAGAAGCACCGGCUAACUACGUG